rnacentral:rRNA from 1 species
UGGGGAAUAUUACACAAUGGGGGAAACCCUGAUGCAGCAACGCCACGUGAGUGAUGACGGCCUUCGGGUUGUAAAGCUCUGUUUCAGGGACGAUAAUGACGGUACCUUAUGAGAAAGCCACGGCUAACUACGUGCCAGCAGCCGCGGUAAUACGUAGGUGGCGAGCGUUGUCCGGAUUUACUGGGCGUAAAGGGAGCGUAGGCGGACUUUUAAGUGAGAUGUGAAAUACCCGGGCUCAACUUGGGUGCUGCAUUUCAAACUGGAAGUCUAGAGUGCAGGAGAGGAGAAUGGAAUUCCUAGUGUAGCGGUGAAAUGCGUAGAGAUUAGGAAGAACACCAGUGGCGAAGGCGAUUCUCUGGACUGUAACUGACGCUGAGGCUCGAAAGCGUGGGGAGCAAACA